UACGUAGGUGGCAAGCGUUGUCCGGAUUUCUUGGGUUUAAAGGGUGCGUAGGCGGUCCUGUAAGUCAGUGGUGAAAUCUCCGGGCUCAACCCGGAAACUGCCAUUGAUACUAUUAGUCUUGAAUAUCGUUGAGGUAGGCGGAAUAUAUCAUGUAGCGGUGAAAUGCAUAGAUAUGAUAUAGAACACCGAUUGCGAAGGCAGCUUGCUAAACGAUUAUUGACGCUGAGGCACGAAAGCGUGGGGAUCAAACAGG
rnacentral:rRNA from 1 species